GGUCGCUAGAGGAUGGGAGGGGAGACUGGAAUUCUCGGUGUAGCAGUGAAAUGCGUAGAUAUCGAGAGGAACACCCGUGGCGAAGGCGAGUCUCUGGACCAUUCCUGACGCUGAGGCACGAAAGCCAGGGGAGCAAACAGGAUUAGAUACCCUGGUAGUCCUGGCCGUAAACGGUGCGCAUUUGCUGUGGGCGGAAUCGACCCCGCCCGUGGCGCAGCUAACGCGUUAAAUGCGCCGCCUGGGGAGUACGGUCGCAAGAUUAAAACUCAAAGAAAUUGACGGGGGCCUGCACAAGCGGUGGAGUAUGUGGCUUAAUUCGAUGCAACGCGAAGAACCUUACCUGGCCUUGACAUGCGCGUGGUAGAAGCGUGAAAGCGUGACGACUCCGCAAGGAGAGCGCGCACAGGUGCUGCAUGGCUGUCGUCAGCUCGUGUCGUGAGAUGUUGGGUUAAGUCCCGCAACGAGCGCAACCCUCGCGUCCUGUUGCGACCCGGCCGAGAGGCCGGAGCACUCUGGACGGACUGCCCCGCUCAAACGGGGAGGAAGGUGGGGAUGACGUCAAGUCAGUAUGGCCCUUACGGCCAGGGCUGCACACGUACUACAAUGCCCGGCACAGAGGGAAGCAAGGCGGCAACGCGGAGCAAAUCCCAAAAACCGGGCCCAGUUCAGAUUGUCGGCUGCAACUCGCCGGCAUGAAGCUGGAAUCGCUAGUAAUGGCGCAUCAGCUACGGCGCCGUGAAUACGUUCCCAGGCCUUGUACACACCGCCCGUCACAUCAUGAAAGCCGGUUGUACC
rnacentral:rRNA from 1 species